GGAACGGCAAUCAGGUUGUGUUAAUGUGACAUGACAUGCUGAUGCAUCUCACUUUUUCAGCCCGAGACGAGGACACAGUUUUGGACACAGACAGUGAGUCCGCCAUCAAUCUGACACAUUAGGUUUUCACGAUAAAACAUAACCAGGGGACAAAUUUGCAUUCAAGAGGAGCGAGAUGUUACAGAGAGACCUUCCAGCAACAGGAAUGGAGUAAGAGAGUACAUUUAAUGUUUCUGUUUCAUUCUUCUUUAUACUACACAAUUCAUUUCAAAGCAAACUAUUGUAGCUUUUACACCGCUACAUUUAUUUGACACCGUACAAAUUUUAAUUUGACAUAAAACCCACAAUGAGCUCAUUAAAUAUGAUUUAUUCAAUUUUCAUAGUUUCAACGUCCACAAUACAUAAAGUAAACAAAAUUAACUCCAACGCGACCAACUACGAGAGAAGAAUAAUACAUCCCUACAUUCGUGCAUUCAUGCAUUACUAAUGAUAAUCCAACACUCGCUGGGGUCAUUUGUCUGCAGUGCUUCUGCUUUACAUUUACAUUUCAUCCCUUUAUUCAAGUAACAUAGCAGAUGCAGAACCAUACUUGUACAUUAGUAAGCAAGUAUCGCUGCUGUUGUUUAAGCAAAUUAUCUGGAUACUUACUCCAUCACUGCCUGAGACGUUAUAAAUAAGCACAGGGUAGAUACAGACCCGUCACGUUAAACCCUCACACACAUCUUAAGACAAUCACAGAACUUCAUUUAUCAACAUUUUUCGAUCGUAUCUGCACUGUGUAUUGCUUUCUAGGUGCGAGUGGGCUAUUUUCUUUUAAAUGUCAUAUUAUCUCUUUACAUUACAAAAUUUCUGUUCCCAAUUUGGGAAUAUUAUUAAUCUUCUAGUUGUUAAAAAUAAGUAAUAAGAGGCUCCCUCUCCAAGCGGGAAUUGCAGCUCCAGACGGAAACAACAUCACACUGGUUGUAAACAAGAUGCAUAUGCAGACAACACUUUUUUUAUGCACAACAUGUGUUGACUAUCAGCGCAGCCAAAUUGAUCCACUGAUGCAACUGUAAGCAACAGCGAUAGUGUGAGCUGCAUAGACAGUUGUCACUGCGGUCAAGAUUCAGACAUGGACGUGUGCAGUCUUAAGAACCCGGCCGCUGUGCAGACAGGGAAAUCAAUAGAGCAUUUUGUUAUCUAUCUCUAUCCUACAACUUAAAAGAGAAGGAUUAUAUGUCAUAGAGUGAGCCCAGGCAGACUCAGGCGUACAUCUAUCAUUGUAGGGAGUCGCGGGCCUUUUCCUGUGUAAAUCAUGUGUCACAUGGGCAGCAAGGUUCAUUCUCCGGCCAUGGAAUACAUUUAGGCCUUGGACACAGACCUCCAUUUUUCACUUGUGAUCGAGUGCUUCCCUGCAGUGCCGGACCUGUAAGUAGAUUAUUUUCCAACAUGACGCCUUCAUUGUUCGCUUUGUUAUUGCUGUCCAUAUCCGAUCAAACACGUGGAAAAAAAAAAAACAGCUUCAUGUGCUGCAAAAAAGUGAUUGAUACCUUUUAAUUAUUCCACUUCUCUUAGGAGUGCAACCGGCACAGCUGCCGAGGUUUUAACGUGACAAACGUUCGACGGUGAGGCCAGAAAAAGGCGGAUGGCAUGCAUGUGGCGGAGUGGCCAAGAGGCUUCAGUGCCACCGCCCCAUCCCCAUAAACCAAAACCCUCAGAUGGAGCCGCGACAGUGAACGAUCCGACUUCAUCGUUCGCAGGACCCUCAUCCUUGCGGAUGGUUUCCGAAACAUCCCUCAUGCGGAACGUAUGUGAAAGUAGCACUGGGAAAUGUAUGAGCCAUCACACACUGCGACGCGUCCUUUCAGUCACGGAUAAAGGGCCUCUCUGCGGAAGAUGCGUCCGACCGCUUGAGGAAAGGAAGUCCCAUCAUUAAAUUGUAAUAUCAGAGCCGUAAUCGAUUUGACAUUAAUGUUAUACAGAAAACCAUAAAUACAUAAAGAAAUUGAUCCCCA